rnacentral:rRNA from 1 species
CGUGUAGGCGGUUGGUCAAGUCUGAUGUGAAAGCCCGGGGCUCAGCUCCGGAAGUGCAUCGGAAACUAACUAGCUGGAGCGCGAUAGAGGAGGGCGGAAUUCCUGGUGUAGCGGUGAAAUGCGUAGAUAUCAGGAGGAACACCGGCGGCGAAGGCGGCCCUCUGGAUCGUUGCUGACGCUGAGACGCGAAAGCGUGGGGAGCAAACAGGAUUAGAUACCCUGGUAGUCCACGCUGUAAACUAUGGGUACUAGGUGUUCGGGGUAUUGACCCCCUGAGUGCCGCAGCUAACGCAUUAAGUACCCCGCCUGGGGACUACGGCCGCAAGGUUAAA